CCUAAGCUUGACAUCCCAAUGACAUCUCCUUAAUCGGAGAGUUCCCUUCGGGGACAUUGGUGACAGGUGGUGCAUGGUUGUCGUCAGCUCGUGUCGUGAGAUGUUGGGUUAAGUCCCGCAACGAGCGCAACCCUUGUCUUUAGUUGCCAUCAUUAAGUUGGGCACUCUAGAGAGACUGCCAGGGAUAACCUGGAGGAAGGUGGGGAUGACGUCAAAUCAUCAUGCCCCUUAUGCUUAGGGCUACACACGUGCUACAAUGGGUAGUACAGAGGGUUGCCAAGCCGUAAGGUGGAGCUAAUCCCUUAAAGCUACUCUCAGUUCGGAUUGUAGGCUGAAACUCGCCUACAUGAAGCUGGAGUUACUAGUAAUCGCAGAUCAGAAUGCUGCGGUGAAUGCGUUCCCGGGUCUUGUACCACCGCCCGUCACACCACGGGAGUUGGAGACGCCCGAAGCCGAUUAUCUAACCUUUUGGAAGAAAGUCGUCGAAGGUGGAAUCAAUAACGGGGGGAAGUCGUAACAAGGUAGCCGUAUCGGAAGGUGCGGCUGGAUCACCUCCUUUCUAAGGAGA
rnacentral:rRNA from 1 species